rnacentral:rRNA from 1 species
AUUGAACGCUGGCGGCAUGCUUUACACAUGCAAGUCGAACGGCAGCGCGGACUUCGGUCUGGCGGCGAGUGGCGAACGGGUGAGUAAUAUAUCGGAACGUACCCAGAAGUGGGGGAUAACGUAGCGAAAGUUACGCUAAUACCGCAUACGAUCUACGGAUGAAAGUGGGGGGACCUUCGGGCCUCAUGCUUUUGGAGCGGCCGAUAUCUGAUUAGCUAGUUGGUGAGGUAAAGGCUCACCAAGGCGACGAUCAGUAGCUGGUCUGAGAGGACGACCAGCCACACUGGGACUGAGACACGGCCCAGACUCCUACGGGAGGCAGCAGUGGGGAAUUUUGGACAAUGGGGGCAACCCUGAUCCAGCAAUGCCGCGUGAGGGAUGAAGGUCUUUGGAUUGUAAACCUCUGUCACUGGGGAAGAAACGCUUCAAGUUAACAGCUUGAAGCCUGACUUAACCCGGAGAGGAAGCAGUGGCUAACUCUGUGCCAGCAGCCGCGGUAAU